GUCAAAACCCUAUCACAACAAACGGGUUAAACUUCCAACUAUUGGUAUAUAAAGAUAAGAAAUUUCACAAAAGUUAGAUUACAUGGUACAUCACAAUUCAAGAUGUGCAGUAGCAUCAUCUCCACCUACUCCUAACCACUAUCUUUUUCACUCACUUUUUUCCUCUCAAUAUUAUCCUAUUUUGCAUUGAUUUGUUUACACUUGGUUAGGAAAAAUGGAAAGAACAUUUGCCAUCAGUUUCUGCCACUUAAAACCCAAAAAGUUAAAUUAAUCGAAUUCGGUUAUUUUCGAAUUCUAGAGUCAGAACCGAACCGAACCGCGACAUCUAUAUCA